CAACAACAAAAAUUCAGCGGAUCCAGGAGGCCAUGGUCCAGAUCAAUGCAGAUUCUUCGGUGAGGUGAAUCGAUAAAGACAAGCAAAGAUUCCACUGAGAAAAGAAGAAAAAGAUCAGAAAAUGCAUUCUGCCAGUAUUUAUAAGCAACGAGAAGGUGUAUCCUGUCAAGCAAUAAUUCUCCUAAAGAUGACAAACGUCGCAAUUGACGCCCUUCUCGACCGCAUCAACACAAUACACUUAAAGAUAAU